CUCAAUUUUAAUUAGGUAACAUUGUUGAAUUAACUGUAUUUUAACCGAAAACCAAUCUAUUCUAGAAUAUGACAAGUGAGGUUUAGAGUAAAAAGUUAACUUCUUUUCAUCAGGAUGUUUUACACUCCACAUGUCACAUAGAUUAAAUUUAGAUAUGGCAUUCUGCAGAACCAAUUUUUUUAAUGAUAUUUUGUUUCCUUUCUUGUGGAACCUUUUUAUCCAUUGAUACAUCUACCACACAGUUAAAG